rnacentral:rRNA from 1 species
UGAGUAAUGUCUGGGAAACUGCCUGAUGGAGGGGGGAUAACUACUGGAAACGGUAGCUAAUACCGCAUAAUGUCGCAAGACCAAAGAGGGGGACCUUCGGGCCUCUUGCCAUCGGAUGUGCCCAGAUGGGAUUAGCUAGUAGGUGGGGUAACGGCUCACCUAGGCGACGAUCCCUAGCUGGUCUGAGAGGAUGACCAGCCACACUGGAACUGAGACACGGUCCAGACUCCUACGGGAGGCAGCAUG